UUUUCUUCCCACCCUUUCUAAAUCAAGUGGCAUGCAUCUACCAUUUCACAGAUGAGGAAACUGAGGUGCAGAAAAGGGAGGUGACUUACUCAAGGGCAUACAGUCAACUGAGAGCAGAGUCUGCACCAGACCCCAAAUUUCUUGAUGUGAAGUGCCUUUGCUCAGUUCUGAGGGUGGUGUGAUAACUAAUAAUAAACUACUGUGCAAUAAGCAUCAACUGUACACCUGGCUGUGUGCCAGACACCUGACACAAGUCAUCAUCACAGCAAUUCUAAAGAGCAUCACUAGUCCAAAUAAGAACUUGAAAAUAAAAUUAUAAAGUAAUAUAUGCAUAAACCAGAAUACUUCAAAUAAUACCGAAAGGCAUAGAAUGAAAAUAAAAAUCUUCAGUGCUGUCCCCUCUUUGAGAAUCACAGUGCUAUGUUUUCAUUCCUCUGGAGGCUCUCUCCAUAACUCAUACACAGAUGUGAUCAUUGCUUUAUGAUUGAGGACAGGGAGGCUCACAAUCAAGAUAACCAGCUGUGACGGCCUGACUGCAGGCUUGGCACUUCUAUUAUUCCACUUAGCUAAGGCUCCUACUAUUGGUACAGUUUUUCAGGGCCUGAGACCAUAGGCCCUUUCCAUGCAGAUAACCUGAUGAUCAUUUGUGAUUGCUGAAUUCUUUUCAGGCCUCAGAGCAAAAUGGACAGGCAGCUCUCCUCAGGCCACUAUCACCCGAGUAAUGUCACCUCUUAUUGUCACCUCCAUGCUGCCUUCACCCCAGACUAGCUCUGGGACUGGGGUCUGCAGAACACAUGGAAGAAGUCUCCCAUCGUGCAAGGGAGAAAAUGAAACUCUACUGGCCUCUAUCAGGGAAGUUAAAAAUUUCCCCCUCUUUCUUGCAAGUUUCCCAAAUCACAAGACUCUGAUUUCCAGGUCAGAGAAUAAGAUUUCAUUUUUAUUAUCCUUUACACUUUGCACAUGAAGAGUCCCCAAAGGAGUAUGUGAUGGACUGAUUAUUGGGAGCCUAUGUUGGGCAAGGCCAGGACUCCGGUGCCUCGUGGAGUACUCGGUCACGCCUGCAGUGAUCUGGGGACCUUAAGUCAGCUCCUACUUUCUAAUGCCAGACAGCACCCUCCCCUCCCUGGAGCUGGUAAGCAGGACUUCUCCUCGGGACUGAGCCAGUCCUGGGAUUCUUAAGGGGUUGGGCUAGUGACCCAAUAUUGAAGAGGAUUCAAAUAUGUAUGUGGCAUUUCUGAUUUAAUUCCUAAAUGACAGUUGCCUUAAGCAUGUGGAAGAUAAGAAACCUUGCUGAAUGUUUCAACUUAAAAGAACAUUGGUUUAAGAGAAAUGAAUACUAUGUCCACAAAAAAACUUGUGCAUUAAUGUUCACAAUAGCAUUAUAUUCAUAAUAGCCCAAAUGACAAAACAUCCAAAUGUCCAUCAACUAAUAAAAGGAUAAACAAAAUAUGGUAUACCCAUGCAAUGAAGUACUAUUUGGCAAUAAAAAGGAAUGAAAUACUCAUACAAGCAACAACAUUGAUGAAUCCUAAAACACUAUGCUAAGUGAAGGAAGCUAAUCAUGAAUAACAUAUUGUAUGACAUUCCUAGAACAGGCAAAUCCAUAGAGACAGAAAAUAGCCUAGUGGCUGUGGAGAGCUGGGAAUCAGAAUGCAGGCAAUGGAAGUUUCGGGGCAGUGCUACAGAGCAUCCUUCUGGGGGAUGAGAUUAUUCUCAAGUUAAUUGUGAUGGAGGUUGGACACCUCUGUGAAUGUACCAAAAACCAUUGAAUUUUGUGUUUGAAAUAGGUGAAUCACAUGGUGUGCAAAUAAUAUUUCAAAACAGCUGUUAAUUAUUUUAAAUGAUACUUAAAAAAAAGACCAGUGGUUUAUGUCUCUUUUUCUGAAACUCACCACCUUCAGAUCCAUAUGCCCAGGCUUACAAACAGAUUUUAUGAGCUAAGUAAAGUGAAAAUGUGAAAAAUAGUGAUUUUUCCUUAGUUGGAUUUGCAGAUCAGUACAUAUCCACAAUACUUGUACCUGUGACUGUUUUGAACUCUCUUGAAAAAUGUUUCCUUAGGCUAACAUUAUUAAACUAUGUUUAAACAAUGAUAGUUAAGUGGCUUUCUCAUUUCUGUUUUCCCCAUAUUCUUCUCCCCCUCCUCAAGUCAUAGCACUCCAGUUUUCUCUUUAGGACCCACCCACCUUCUUUUUAGUUCCUGUGGUUUAAGUAUUGUUGACCCUUUCUUUGCCUUAGGCUUUGUGACUCAAGCCUGGUCAACCAGCAAACUCUGUAAAGUGGUGUGUUGUAACUGGUUCACACCAGCACCGCCAAAACAACUCGUAAAUUUUUAGGAAUUCUGUGAGUCAGUUGUUAAACAUGAUCAUUAUUAAAAUUUAAAUUAUAUGAAUUUAUAAUUAAAUAAAUUACACUUAAAGUUAAUAGGCACUCAAAAAUCCAUCACUUUCUAUUUAUUUGGGUACAUUUUACUAUUAUGUAU